GCUCCCGUGGCCCAGUGGAAAGGCGUGUGGCUUCUAACCUCAAGAUCGUGGGUUCGAUCCCCACCGGGAGCU